AGUAGGCAGAAAAACUGGAGCUCCCGUUCACUACCAGCUCCACACCAUUUCCCCCCGACCUUCUGAUUUUUUUUCUCGCCGCCUCCCCUCACAAAUAAACCUCCAGCCUUCCACCGUCUCCCCCUCCCUUGCCAUCUGCCAAACAGCCAUCACUGCCCCCUGAUCCGCUGUCAUUUUCCUUUUCUUCCCCGGCCAUUCCUUUCUCCCUCACCCAAACAACCCCUUCCACCUCUGCCUCUCAACCGCAGCUCAAGCCCCCCCCCCAUUUCUCCUUUAAUUUUUCUUCUUCUCCGUUCCACCGAUCGACUGCCUCUCAGCCGAGACCCCUUCUCUCUCAAGCUCUCCGAUCUCCACCAUCAAGCCACCACAGCAGACCCAGCUCCAUCCUCUCCUCCAGUAGCAGCCCGACACAGCGGCGCCCACUGCCAUCCUCGCCCGAACCAGCACAGGCAGCUGCACAGCCACGACCGAAGCUCAGCCGCCGGCCACCCCUUGGGCAUACGAUCUGCUACCUGAAUUAGAGAAGAAGAAGACGCCGAAAGAACCGAUCUGCAGAGAAGCAGAUCAAAGAGAACAGAUUGAAAACGAAAAAAAAAUUAAAAUCAACUGCUGUUUUGUGUGUUUCUUCGUUCUGCAGAUAACGAGGGCUUUCACCGCCGGUGAGGAGAGGAAGAAGGAGAGAAGCCGAGCCUGAUCCACCCUGUCCCCUGUUUUUGUUUGCGGCGGCGCGUGCACCCACGCGCCGCCAGUGGCGGUGGUGCGUGGAUCCACGCGCCGGAACUGUUCACGCAGCCCCCAGGACUCCUUCCCUGCAAUUCUGGAGUUUUUAGGGACCAUUUUGUAAAUUUUAAAGUUUUAAUGUAAUUUUUGUUUAUUUAUUUUAAAUUUGUAAUAUGUGAAUGUAAAAGAAAAAAGAAGAAAAUAAAAGAAAAUAAAUAAUAAAAAGAGAUGUGUGCUUGUUUGUAUUUUUAUUUAUGUUAUUAAAUUGUAAAAAUAAAAGAAGGAUAAAAAGAA
rnacentral:lncRNA from 1 species